rnacentral:tRNA from 1 species
UCCCUGAUGGACUAGUGGUUAGGCCUCAGUGCUCUCACUGCUGCGGCCCAGGUUCAAGUCCUGGCCAGGGAA